rnacentral:tRNA from 1 species
UCCGCAUUAGUGUAGGGGUAAACAUACUCCGCUUUCAUUACAAAGUCCCGGAGAGCCCCGGGUUCGAUUCCCGGAUGCGGAA